rnacentral:ncRNA from 1 species
CAAAGGUUUGGUCCUGACCUUACUGUCAACUUUAGCUAUAUUUACACAUGCAAGUUUCCGCAACCCCGUGAGAAUGCCCUUUAGUUCCUACCAGGAAAAAAGGAGCAGAUAUCAGGCACAUCACUAGAUUGCCCAAGACGUCUUGCUAAGCCACACCCCCAAGGGAUUUCAGCAGUGAUAAAUAUUAAGCAAUAAGUGUAAACUUGACUUAGUUACAGCUAAGAGGUCCGGUAAAACUCGUGCCAGCCACCGCGGUUAUACGAGAGGUCCAAGUUGACAACCCCCCGGCGUAAAGAGUGGUUAAUUAUACAUUAUUACUAAAGUUAAAUGCCCCCAAAGCUGUUAUACGCAUCCGAGGGUAAGAAAGCCACCUACGAAAGUAACUUUAUAGUAUUGACGCCACUAAAGCUGUGAAACAAACUGGGAUUAGAUACCCCACUAUGCUCAGCCAUAAACCAUGACAGCCUACUACAAUCGCUGUCCGCCUGGGUACUACAAGCCUAGCUUAAAACCCAAAGGACUUGGCGGUGCUUAAGAUCCACCUAGAGGAGCCUGUUCUAGAACCGAUAACCCCCGUUAAACCUCACCCUUCCUAGCCCUAACCGCCUAUAUACCGCCGUCGUCAGCCUACCCUGUGAAGGCCCCAUAGUAAGCAUAAUUGGCCCACCCCAAAACGUCAGGUCGAGGUGUAGCACAUGGAAGGGGAAGAAAUGGGCUACAUUUUCUAAUCCCAGAAUACACGAAAAAUGGCCUGAAAAGUCUAUUAGAAGGAGGAUUUAGCAGUAAGGAAUGAAUAGAGUACAUACCUGAAAUUGGCCCUAAAGCGCGUACACACCGCCCGUCACUCUCCCCAAGCUGCACAACAACAUUUUUAAUGCCAACACUAAGCAAAGGGGAGGCAAGUCGUAACAUGGUAAGUGUACCGGAAGGUGCACUUGGAAAAAU